GUCCCCAACUAAGUGCCGAGCCCCCAAUUCCAGCGCCGCUCCGUCCCUAUCCUCGCCGUACGCCAACCCUUAACUGAGCGCGAGGACCUCGGCAAGGCGCUCAGGGACUGAGACCUGUGGGGGCCCUUCUUCUUCAUCAUCUUCCUCGGUCUCACCGUCUCCAGGUCGGCCUCCGUUAAGGUGUUAAGAUCUAGUUGUUGGCUAUAAUCUGGUGUGUGCAGAAUGGAUAUUGUGGACUCCGACAGCAACAGAUAUCCUUAUUUAAG